UCAAACUUGGUCAUUUAGAGGAAGUAAAAGUCGUAACAAGGUUUCCGUAGGUGAACCAGCGGAGGGAUCAUUACAGGAAUCAGUGCACACCUGCCCCCGGGCAGACGAAGCGCUACACCCCAGUGAACUUAAACCCUUCUACAGGCGUCCCAGGCUGCGCCGGCUGGCCCCCAAGCCGCCGGUGCUCUGGGCGCACGAAACAAAACACAUCAGGCCACCGUGAGGACAAAUUCUGAUUACUAUUGAGAUAAAUAGCUGAAAAACUUUCAACAACGGAUCUCUUGGCUCCAGCAUCGAUGAAGAACGCAGC
rnacentral:misc_RNA from 1 species